UACAGAGGGUGCAAGCGUUAUUCGGAAUUAUUGGGCAUAAAGCGCAUGUAGGUGGUUUGAUAAGUCUGAUGUGAAAUCCCCGGACUCAAUUCGGGAAGUGCAUUGGAUACUGUCAGGCUAGAGUAUGGGAGAGGUGAGACGGAAUUCCAGGUGUAGAGGUAGAAAUUCGCAGAUAUCAAGGAGGAACACCCAUUGCGAAGGCAGCUGCGCUGGGACGUUACUGACGCUGAGACGCGGAAAGCGUGGGGAGCAAACAGG
rnacentral:rRNA from 1 species